rnacentral:rRNA from 1 species
GGUGCGGAAUAGCCCAGGGAAACUUGAGGUAAUACCGUAUAAGCCCCUAGGGGGAAAGAUUUAUCGCCAUUGGAUGGGCCCGCGUCGGAUUAGCUAGUUGGUGAGGUAACGGCUCACCAAGGCAACGAUCCGUAGCUGGUUUGAGAGAAUGACCAGCCACACUGGGACUGAGACACGGCCCAGACUCCUACGGGAGGCAGCAGUGGGGAAUCUUGGACAAUGGGCGCAAGCCUGAUCCAGCCAUGCCGCGUGAGUGACGAAGGCCUUAGGGUUGUAAAGCUCUUUUGCCGGGGACGAUAAU